CUUANNNACUCUUGNNNCNNCNGAACUUAGCAGAGAUGCUUCGGUGCCUUCGGGAACUGUGAGACAGGUGCUGCAUGGCUGUCGUCAGCUCGUGUUGUGAAAUGUUGGGUUAAGUCCCGCAACGAGCGCAACCCUUAUCCUUUGUUGCCAGCACGUAAUGGUGGGAACUCAAGGGAGACUGCCGGUGACAAACCGGAGGAAGGUGGGGAUGACGUCAAGUCAUCAUGGCCCUUACGAGUAGGGCUACACACGUGCUACAAUGGCAGAUACAAAGUGAAGCGAACUCGCGAGAGCAAGCGGACCACAUAAAGUCUGUCGUAGUCCGGAUUGGAGUCUGCAACUCGACUCCAUGAAGUCGGAAUCGCUAGUAAUNNNAGAUCAGAAUGCUACGGUGAAUACGUUCCCG
rnacentral:rRNA from 1 species